GAAAGCCGUAUGAGGGAAAACCUCACGUACGGUUUGAUGAGAAGAUGCUGGAAAUAGGGUAUGGCUGAGAUAUUGUGACACUCUCAGAGGAAACGGAGAGAAACAGGGAAUACGAACAUCGGCCUACAACAACUACGCCAGUGUUUUACUCUAC
rfam:Nitrospirae bacterium CG2_30_41_42 cg2_3.0_scaffold_376_c, whole genome shotgun sequence.